rnacentral:rRNA from 1 species
UACGAAGGGUGCAAGCGUUACUCGGAAUUACUGGGCGUAAAGCGUGCGUAGGUGGUUUGUUAAGUCUGAUGUGAAAGCCCUGGGCUCAACCUGGGAAUUGCAUUGGAUACUGGCAGGCUAGAGUGCGGUAGAGGAUGGCGGAAUUCCCGGUGUAGCAGUGAAAUGCGUAGAGAUCGGGAGGAACAUCUGUGGCGAAGGCGGCCAUCUGGACCAGCACUGACACUGACGCUCAGGCACGAAAGCGUGGGGAGCAAACAGG